CCUACGGGGGGCAGCAGUGGGGAAUAUUGCACAAUGGGGGAAACCCUGAUGCAGCGACGCCGCGUGAGCGAAGAAGUAUUUCGGUAUGUAAAGCUCUAUCAGCAGGGAAGAAAAAUGACGGUACCUGAGUAAGAAGCACCGGCUAAAUACGUGCCAGCAGCCGCGGUAAUACGUAUGGUGCAAGCGUUAUCCGGAUUUACUGGGUGUAAAGGGAGCGCAGGCGGUGCGGCAAGUCUGAUGUGAAAGCCCGGGGCUCAACCCCGGGACUGCAUUGGAAACUACCGAACUAGAGUGUCGGAGAGGUA
rnacentral:rRNA from 1 species